rnacentral:lncRNA from 1 species
ACCAAACCAAUCUAAAUGAAGACAAUACAGACAUUGAUUGUGAUAAUUUGGAGAAACUUAAGAGUCUUGUGUGGUAGCACUUUGAAAAGAAAAAGGUUAAUGGAGUUGAUAAGGUAGAAUGCCAUAAUGCGUUACUUAGUGCCAAUUCAAGAAAUAGAACAAAUCAUCUGCGUAUGCAUUUUGGUAGAUGUAAAAGGAGGAAA